UAAAACCGAGUUGAGAGUCACUUCAACGGUGAUUCAUUUUGAUCACGUGAUGACAAACUAUAAAUUAUAUAAUACUGUUUGGUUACAUAUAAAUUAAUAUCAGUUAUUAUUAUUACUAUCCGGAGAUUAAAAUUUUGUAGCACAAUUAGAGGUUAUAAAUGCAGAACGGAUAGUUUUUCUUUUAGGUAUCGAGUACACAAUUUAUCCUUUAUGAUGCAUAGAAAUAGAGGAUCUGUGGAAAUACCACUCGAGUAUGAGAAACGUAUUUUAUUACGGAUCCAUCGAAGCAAUACGUGAUGACGUAACUCGUAACUAAACCAGUUUUGGAGUUGACUUUGGAUGUGAUAAAACAAGAAACGUAAAACAAACGUAAUAUUUUUCAUACAUAAAUUGUAUAUAAGGAAAUUAACGCAAUAUUAUACAUUUAAUGUGUAUUACCUACUUUAUAUAAACUAUUGUGCAAAUGGAUUAGCUUAAUGAUGGACCUAAAAACAAUCAUAUGUUUGCAUUUCAUUCACAAUACUAUUAAAUUAAAUUCAUCAAUCAAUCAAUUUCAUUCACAAUACUAUUAAAUUAAAUUAAAGAAAUAAUUAAUUAAUUAUCAUGUAUUUUAACAAGCAUUUGAAAAUGAAACCUUAUUAGAAUGAAAACUGUACGCCUGUAGCACUGUCCCAUUUUCUUUAUACCAAUAAUAAUAAUGUUUGUACGGAAUAUCACUAAUAUCAAUUUUGUAUGGGUUGUUUCCCUAAUUCAUAUGGAUUCCUGUGUUAUGUAAAAUGAAACAAUGCUAUUCAAAUAUUUCAAUUCAAUAGACUGUUUUAAAUAAGAAUAUUACACAAUACAUAGCUGAUGUAAUUUAAUCCACUUCUAUGGAAUUGGUUAUGGAGAGACAUUGACGGAAUAAGCGUAUAAACAUUUUAUUCACAUUUUCACUGUAGUUUCACUUAUGGAGAGUAAAAACUUUUUGGUGUAACCUUUAAUAAUAGAUGGGAGCACUUCCUAUUAACAUAAAUACUUAGUAUGUAAUUGAUAUGUAUAA